CCACUGUUUAGUUGAGUAAGAGAGGCUACAGAAUCAAGAGCUAUUCUAGGAGAUAAAUGAAAACACAGACCAAAUGAGCAGAGCACCAGUAAAGUGGAAGAACAGGUUCCAUUGCAAGAGAAAUGUGCAAAUCUGAAAAAAGAUGUCUCUGAAUGAAGCACAAAUGUAAACAACUGGGAUAGUGUGAAGAGCUCACAAUGUCGGGACCAUUGCUGUACACUCCUCUUCCUCUAGCUGCACAUUUAAUAUAGUUCCCAGAGUUUGAUCCCUGGUUCAAGAAGAUCCCCUGGAGCUGGAAAUGGCAAUCGACACCAGUAUUCUUGCCUGCAGAAUUCCGUGGACAGAGGAACCUAGUGGGAUACAGUCCAUGAGGUCACAAAGAGUCAGACGUGACUGAGCACGCAGCAGCACAGAGGAAGUUUAUCAGCUUGCAUGGUUCUAUGUGUCAACUUUUUGCAAUAGACCCAAUCUAUAUUUGCAAACAAUAAAUGAAGAAUUCCUGUUUCCCAGUGUCGUGUCUAGGAAAUAUUAGCCUAAGUUUCAGAAGGGGAAAGUCUCGUUCUGGUCUUAGCAUUUUCUUCCAGUGUGGCCUUGGGGCAGAUUAUUUAAUGUCUCUGAAUAUUGAUUUCCUUUCAUGUAAAAUGGAAAUAAAAUUUGUUCUGCUUACUCUUGCAGACCUGUAGCAUGAGUAAAAUGUGAAAAUGGUGAAGUUAUACUGUGUUUAAUGUUCAAAACUAUUAAAAACAUCACUCUAAAUGUUACCAUGGAAAACAAAUCUGAAGCUGUAGUCCCAACCACUCUCCUUACCAUCAGUUCUGAAUUUUUACCUACUUGCUAGACACUGACUGCCAUGUCAUUGUCUUCCAGGCACUUCAAAUUCAACAUUUUCAGAAGCAAGUGUUGUUUUCCCUUCCCGUGGGGUUUCCCUUCCCCUUGUCUUCUGGUUCCUGCAUUUCCUCUAUUAGUUCAUGGCCAUUUUUCUCAACUGGGAACCUUGGGGAUCAUCUUGAACUCUGUGCUGAACCUUCAUACUUACCUCAUCCAGUCAGAUUAUGCAUCUUGUUGAUUCUUCCUCUGAAAUGUCUCUAGAAUCUACCCCACCAUUCCAGUUAGGCCGCUGCUUAUCUUCUGCCCUAUUCAGAUCCUGAUCAUUUUUCUUCUUCUUCCAAUAUAUAGACUUCCAUACCAGUUAUGGCUCAUUAUGGGAGAGGGUCAGUAAAUGUUCCUGGGCUCCUCCCUUUGGCAGAGCCUGACACAACUUUGGGAUAUAAGUUAGACCAGGUAUUUCAAUCCUUUCUAAUGUGAUCAUCUGCCUCAGCAUCUUCAGCUAGGAAAUAUUUCAGCCAACCAAAAAAAAUUCCCUUAAAUAAAAUACAGAGGCAUCUGCAAGGCCCUGGUCCUGGGGUUUUGGUGCAUAGUGAACCUGUGGAGGGAAGAAAUGGGCUGUAGCGAACCAACUGUGAACCAACCGACUACGACCAGCAUCUUACCUGCAACCAAGGAUGAUAAUUAUGGGACAGCAACAAAGGUACAAAACUGUAUCGGUAUCCCUUGUUUCCAAAUCACUAAUGUCUGUGAAUUACAAUGGGGGUUUUGGUUACUUAAGUUUAGACAACAGUUUCUGCAUCUUAUUGUUUUAAGCCAAGCAUGUUUGUGCCCUGAAAUGUGUUUUUUGCAAAAGAAAUCUUAUGUUUACUUUGUGAG